rnacentral:lncRNA from 1 species
ACUCAAAAAUAUCAGCCACCUACUACUAUUUCCUUCUGGUUCUAACGCAUGGCAACAAAGGAAAAUAAAAUAAAUAAAUAAAAAGGUGGCCUCACCCACUCAUACUCAACACUAUUUUCCUCACUGACAAAAAUCUCUCAUUCACCUCUCAUCUUCACCAUAAAAUCCACAAAAACUCCACCAACAACCCUCACCGUCAUCUUCCUCAUCAAUAAACCCUUCAUCUUCCGUCCGCCGCCAUCCAUUCCGUUAACCGCUUCCACGCCUUCGAUCAUCUUUCACCGGCGAUUCAACCUUCCGCUUCACCUCCAUCAAAACUCCGUUCACCACCUCAAUACAAUCUCAGAUCCAAAAACCAUCCACACGCUGACGAAACCCCAAACACCGCCGUUUCUUUUCCACUCCUUUCACAACCGUCGUCCUCUUUCAAACCACACACGACUUCUGUGACGUCGCCGCUCAACCGACCACCACCCUUUCAACCACAAAACCUUCGCCAAACUUCUCAACUCUCCUUCUUCUCCGAUCUAUUUCCACUUAUUCCUCCGUCCAAACACCAACUCCGUGAAACCCUUUUUCGCCUUCAACCGCGCAUCCUCCGCGCCUCUUAUUCCAACUCUGUUUCGGAUGGCUGCGAGUUGGCAAGGCGUUUUAGAUUGGACGGCUGUUUGGUUUUAAUUCUUUUGUUUAUGCAGGUAAUGGUUUGGAACGAAAGGCUAAAAAGCACCGGAUUCACUUCACCAACUAUGGAGUUUCAAGUUCAACAAGCACUUCGAGACAUUGACACCCUAUUUCCACCGCCUGCGAAAACAACACGCCAAAUCGCGUUUACAUUUCUGCAUUCGGUAAUCUUUUAAACUGAAAACAUUGAUUACAAUUGGUCCAUAUUCUAAUGCUGUUUUGGUUAUCGAAUCAUGUGUACAACUAAAUUUUUCUUUGGUAUAUGAUUGCAUUAUGCAUUGGAUUUCCUGCAUAAAUUGGUUCUGAUUCCAUAUGUUUCAUGACAGAGUGUAUGGAUAAGUAAUUGAUGUCGACACUGCGGUGAUUUUGUAAAUAAUUUCAAGCGGUCCUUGUUUCGACAUAUUAUUAUGUAACAUGCUUGCUGCCAAAUUUGAUAUAAGGCUUUGGUUACAUUAUGGUUAUACUAUGUAACGUUUUGGCAUGGCUGCUGUUAUAGUCCCUUAUCUUUCUCCCUAAAUAUCCAUAAGUCAUUUGUUUCAUAGAGAAGUGGUAGACUUCAAAAAGGCAGAAAAUAUUUGUUUACUGUUCUAUGCUUAGAAUGAUAGUGCAUCGUUUUUGGUUUUGAUAUUUGGUUGAGGAAAGAUUAAUAUAAAAGGUACACCUCAGUGAUUAUUCAUGUGUUUGUAUCACAUUUGUAAAUAAUCUUAAUUCAAUUCUUUUGCUGAUUUUAUUAUUAUUAUUAGGAAUAAUGUAUAAAGGAUCAUAGGUCGUUUCGUUGAUAUAAUAAAAAUGUCAUUUAUUUUUUAAUCGGAUUUUUUUAUCCAUGGAUCCGACAAUUUCAUGUCGUCAUGCCGCCCAAAGUCGCAAUAAAUUAACUGUACGAUUUCACCGCAUUUAGAUCUCACAUACGGCAUUCUAAUUUCAUGGUCGCUAUGUACAAACCG